rnacentral:rRNA from 1 species
AGUGAACGCUGGCGGUAGGCCUAACACAUGCAAGUCGAACGGCAGCACAGGAGAGCUUGCUCUCUGGGUGGCGAGUGGCGGACGGGUGAGGAAUACAUCGGAAUCUACUUUUUCGUGGGGGAUAACGUAGGGAAACUUACGCUAAUACCGCAUACGACCUACGGGUGAAAGCAGGGGAUCGUCGGACCUUGCGCGAUUGAUGGAGCCGAUGUCGGAUUAGCUAGUUGGCGGGGUAAAGGCCCACCAAGGCGACGAUCCGUAGCUGGUCUGAGAGGAUGAUCAGCCACACUGGAACUGAGACACGGUCCAGACUCCUACGGGAGGCAGCAGUGGGGAAUAUUGGACAAUGGGCGCAAGCCUGAUCCAGCCAUACCGCGUGGGUGAAGAAGGCCUUCGGGUUGUAAAGCCCUUUUGUUGGGAAAGAAAUCCAGCUGGUUAAUACCCGGUUGGGAUGACGGUACCCAAAGAAUAAGCACCGGCUAACUCCGUGCCAGCCGCCGCAGUAA